rnacentral:tRNA from 1 species
AGGGGCGUAGCUCAACUGGCAGAGCAGCGGUCUCCAAAACCGCAGGUUGCAGGUUCAAGUCCUGUCGCCCCUGCCCUGA